AUGGUCUAAUGGUUCAGGACAUCUCUCUUUCAAGGAGGUAGUGGGCAUUCGAUUUCCCCU
rnacentral:tRNA from 1 species